AUGUUGCUCUCCAACCUUCUCAAGGUGGUCAUGACUUCCAUGUGGCUGGGAUCCAGUAUUGCCCAGAAGAUAACUCAAGCCCAACCAGCAAUGUUAGUGCAGGAGAAGGGGAGUGUCACUCUGGAAUGCACAUAUAACACCAAUGAGCCAAGUUAUAGUCUUUUAUGGUACAAGCAGCCCAGCAGUGGGGCAAUGGUUUUCCUUAUUCGUCAGGAUUCCUACAACCAGCAAAAUGCCACCGAAGGUCGCUACUCACUGAAUUUUCAGAAGACAGGAAAUUUCAUCCAACUUGUCAUCUCAGCUUCACAGCUGGAGGACUCUGCAGUGUAUUUCUGUGCACUGAGGGAGGCCACAGUGAGGGGAGUGAUGGAGGGAGGUAUACACAAACCCCAGCGCUCUUGUUGA